GAAAAAAAAAAAAAACCAGCGUGCCUGGCCUGGCCUCUUCAAUUGCUGAAACUUAUAAAGCUAAGGGGCAGACCAGAUCAAAGACCAGGACUGUAAAACCAAGCACAGACUGGAGACCUCUCAAAAGUUAUAAAACCAUUUCCUCCUCUGGGAAAUGAGGUGUCUGCGUUAUUCAAGCAUUUGCAGGCAGGAUGUUGGAGUGUAGCUGUGACCCACCCAAAGGACUUGGAAAAUAAAUGUAGUAAGGCAUCCCGCCAGAGGCUCUGGCUGUUUAUUACAACAAACCAUUCAACUCCUCCCCUGGUGCUUCAAGGUCCUAUAAUGGAAAUAAUGUCUUCAGUAAUGCUGAGAAAUUCUUGCCCUUCUCCAACUACGUUUGAGCGAUUCUCCUGACUCAAUAGGAAUUACACACCACUGGGCACAAUCUGGCUGCAGCGUCACUGUAUGAAUCACCAUUUCCCUCUAAGCUCUGCAACAGCAUGAAAAAGUCACCACCACACUCUCCUGUCCUGGAGAAAUAAACUGGUAAACAAUC